rnacentral:RNase_P_RNA from 1 species
AUAGUAAGAUGGCUUAUCGCCGCUUGUUUACAAGAGGAGGAAAGUCCACGCAAUAAAGAGCACUAUACUUCCUAACGGGAAGUGGGCCGUGAGGUUCAAGUAGCAUAACAGAAAAUAACCGCCUCUUUCUGGAGGUAAGGAUGAAAAUGUGAGGUAAGAGCUCACGUGCAGUUGUGGUAACAUGAUUGUAGUAUGUCUUAUAGAUUGAAAGUUCAAGUAUACCAACAUAGAUUUGCUCGGUCGUUAUUGUUGGAGGGUAGAACGAUACAGGCUGUUGGUAACACCAGUCGUAGAUAAAUGAUAGGCGCCUUAUUUUUUAAGGUACAGAACGUGGCUUAUAAUCUUACUAUUCCC